AACGUAGGGGGCGAGCGUUAUCCGGAAUCACUGGGCGUAAAGGGCGUCUAGGCGGCCGUCUAAGUCCUGCGUGAAAGCUCCCGGCUCAACUGGGAGAGCGCGUGGGAGACUGGGUGGCUAGAGACUCGGAGAGGGGUGUGGAAUUCCCGGUGGAGUGGUGAAAUGCGUUGAGAUCGGGAGGAACACCAGUGGCGAAGGCGGCACCCUGGCCGAGGUCUGACGCUGAAGCGCGACAGCGUGGGGAGCGAACGGG
rnacentral:rRNA from 1 species